GUACGAGGGAGGGCCAGCCCAAGUUCCUCAUGGAAACCAAGAGGAAUAGCGCAGCCCCAGUGCUCUCUGGUUGAUGAAGCCGAGACGGAACAGAAAACAAGACAUCCCGUUCUCUGUUUUUUUCUUCAGGCAAAGAGCUAUGUAGAUCCAACCCCGUUCAGCAGAGCGGAAGUAAUUUCCCCCCUUAAUGAUUAACUGUCUGAAUGGGAGUUCUUUAUUAUCCAUUAUCUUCGGUAGUAGUGACCGCCUACUGCAAGUUCUGCUUUGCUGAAAGUCCGUGGAAGUCUACAGGUGAAAAAGUCUUCCUGUCAAUUUGUUUUGCGGUACAGCCCCACGCGCUGUUGGAAAGACUCAUUUGAAACCGUUUUGGCGUUGUGACAGGGUUGUGUGGAUUUCCCGAGGAGUCGAGUCAGAUCCCAUCUGAUGGCUUCAGUUAUGGAGUUAAUGUCCUGGAACUGACCCGUGACAGACUGUGGGGAUGCAGGAUGUUGCAGAAUUACUCACCCCACAAGGACUUCUUCACAUCGGUUGGUGUCACAAUCUGGAAUGAAAAAACAUUUAUACAGCCUGAACUUUCUCCCUGAUUGGUUUUAGAAAGCUGUUUGGUCAUUGUGGUGUGGUUGCUUGGACGUUCUCUGCCGUACUCGGGAGCCUGGGCUGUGUCCCCAGAUUUUGACACAGAUGGACUAUUUAAUAUAUUGUGUUAUUUCUGAAUGCAUUUGAUCUCACCACAGUUUAUUUGAGCAAAGCAAAGGGGUGAAAACUUAUGCAAUAUGUUUUUUUUGUGUAAUGAAUGCAUUUUUCCUAACAUCAAUACUAUUUAAUACUCUUUGUAGAUCAAUAACAGAACAAAACAAAUUUAGCUCACAUUGUAGCACUACAAAAUGUGCAAAAGUCCACUAUAUAUUUCAUACAUAGUUCUCCUUGACUUAUCUGAAUAAAUAAAUGUUGGGGCAGACCAGAUUGUCGUCUGUGUUGACUGUUUGAGAUUAGUUAUCCCAGACUGAAGAGCAGCCCUCAUAACUGCAGAUCUCUGACCAGCUGAAGUGGUGGAAGCAGUUAUCAGAGGGGAGAUUGAGUGGUUGGGGUCAAAGUUCAGCGUUGGUUUAAGCAGGGCUUAGGUUACACCCACCAACUGGUCUUCCAUCAACGUGAGAGACAGGAAUGUACAAAGACAGACAGAGAGACCGAGAGACAGACAGCAACUACUCACAUGUUGUUGUUCAAAUAUAAGAGAUACAAGAGUCAGCUUAACCAGUUUGUGUUGUGUGUUUGAUUUCUUUUGUGAGCCCACCCAAACACAAAAAAUGCACUGUAAAAAAUGUCUUAUCAGGUAUAUUUAUCUUAUUUUCUUGUUAAAAACCCUACCAUCCUUUAAAUUUUACAUAUAUUCCUUAACAAUCUAGAUUAUAACGCUUGUUUUUAGAAAAUAUGCCUUGAAUAUAGUGUAACUUGUCUUGUACCAUUGGCAGAUUAUUUCACUUAUUUCAAGCAAAUAUCUCCUCAAAUAUAGUUCAAUUGUCUUUGUUCCAUCGACAACGUUUUGCAGUUUGAUAAUAAUUAGGCAC
ensembl:lncRNA